rnacentral:rRNA from 1 species
ACCCUGAUGCAGCGACGCCGCGUGCGGGAUGGAGGCCUUCGGGUCGUGAACCGCUUUUACAGGGGAGCAAGCUUUCGGGUGAGUUAACUUUGUGAAUAAGCACCGGCUAACUACGUGCCAGCAGCCGCGGUAAUACGUAGGGUGCAAGCGUUGUCCGGAUUUAUUGGGCGUAAAGGGCUCGUAGGCGGUUCGUCGCGUCUGGUGUGAAAGCCCGCUGCUUAACGGUGGGUUUGCGUUGGAUACGGGCGGGCUUGAGUGCAGUAGGGGAGACUGGAAUUCUCGGUGUAACGGUGGAAUGUGUAGAUAUCGGGAAGAACACCUAUGGCGAAGGCAGGUCUCUGGGCUGUUACUGACGCUGAGGAGCGAAAGCGUGGGGAGCGAACAGGAUUAGAUACCCUGGUAGUCCACGCUGUAAACGGUGGACGCUGGAUGUGGGGCCCAUUUCCACGGGUUCCGUGUCGGAGCUAACGCGUUAAGCGUCCCGCCUGGGGAGUACGGCCGCAAGGCUAAAACUCAAAGAAAUUGACGGGGGCCCGCACAAGCGGCGGAGCAUGCGGAUUAAUUCGAUGCAACGCGAAGAACCUUACCAGGGCUUGACAUGUUGACGAUCGCCUCAGAGAUGGGGCUUCCCUUCGGGGCGUCUUCACAGGUGGUGCAUGGUCGUCGUCAGCUCGUGUCGUGAGAUGUUGGGUUAAGUCCGCAACGAG